rnacentral:rRNA from 1 species
UACGUAGGGGGCAAGCGUUGUCCGGAAUCAUUGGGCGUAAAGAGCGUGUAGGCGGCUCGAUAAGUCUGCUGUGAAAGUCCAGGGCUCAACCCUGGAAGGCCGGUGGAAACUGUCGGGCUAGAGUCCGGAAGAGGCGAGUGGAAUUCCCGGUGUAGCGGUGAAAUGCGCAGAUAUCAGGAGGAACACCAAUAGCGAAGGCAGCUCGCUGGGACGGUACUGACGCUGAGGUGCGAAAGCGUGGGGAGCAAACAGG